rnacentral:lncRNA from 1 species
CAUGAAGCUUGGAAAUAGAGUUGGAACAAAACUUGUGUUUUUCAAAACAUUUGGAACCUCAAUGCAUUUAUUAGCCUCUAUUACAAAGACCGUGUUUCAGAAAGAAACCCUCAGCGCUUUUUCUCAAAGCCUGGGAUCCUUGGGGUGGACAUGUUGCUGCAACCUACGGAUAUUAGCAACACCUCACAUUCAGGUGGCACUUUGGAGUGCACAAAGUGAUCUCACAUUAAAUCAUGACAUAUCUGUGAGGCCUCCCUCCCUCCAGGCUCCUUGGUGGAAGAGAGGAACAGCAGGAGGCAACCAGAACUAUCAAGCAUCACAGACUGCAUGCAGCUUCUCAUCCUUUUUCAGAGCACAGUAUCAACAUUUAUUUUUGUACAAGUUUCAACUGGCUGCUGAGAACAGGGAAAUAGCUGUAUAACCCAGGAGUUUUACUCACCACAGAACUCAGUCCCUAGAACUGCAGGACACUUC